rnacentral:rRNA from 1 species
CAGUUGGGAAUCUUGCACAAUGGGGGAAACCCUGAUGCAGCGACGCCGCGUGGAGGAUGACGGAUCUAGGUCUGUAAACUCCUUUUUCAUGGAAAGACUUAGGACGGUACCAUGAGAAUAAGGACCGGCUAACUACGUGCCAGCAGCCGCGGUAAGACGUAGGGUCCAAGCGUUGUCCGGAUUUACUGGGCGUAAAGAGCGCGUAGGCGGUCUGUUAAGUGUGAAGUGAAAUCUCCAGGGCUCAACCCGGAAACUGCUUCGCAUACUGGCAGACUUGAGGAAUGCAGAGGUUUGUGGAAUUCCCGGUGUAACGGUGAAAUGUGUUGAUAUCGGGAGGAACACCCAUGGCGAAGGCAGCAAACUGGGCAUUAUCUGACGCUGAGGCGCGAAAGCGUGGGUAGCAAACAGGAUUAGA